GAAGCCGUGAGCUUGAGUGGCCUUCUCAGCGGCCACACACAAGCAGUAGCUUGCCUGGCAACACUCCGCGAUCUCCUGUGUAGUGGCUCUGCCGAUAAAACCAUAAGAUUGUGGAGAAGAGAGCGAAAGCAAGGAUGCUCACCAUCGCAUAUUUCCUUGUCCGUUGUCCAAGGCCACACCGGCCCCGUCAAAUCGAUCGUGCUCGCCCCCGACAGGAUCGGCCUGUGUAGCAUCACCAGUGGAAGCCUCGACGGCCAGGCCAAAAUGUGGAGAGUCUAUCCCUGCCAGGAGCGAGACGAAGAAGAAAAAGAAUCUCCCCAGUCAGAGCGCUUCUACUUCAAUAGCAGCGAUCCACUCACCGCGAGAAGCGAGGCGCAGCAGUGGAAGCUCAGCACGAUCAAGCACGCCCUAGACGAAGGCGGCCACUUCUUCCGCCUUGCAUUUGAA
rnacentral:lncRNA from 1 species